GUUAGGAUAUGGCUUGAUUUUUUUUUUUCAGUUGGCUUUAAAUCUUGUAAUUAAAGCUCUCUUUUCAUCCAAAUACAUAUAAAAAGAGGCUUCACUUAAAAUGCAUCUCCAGCCAGCUUGCGUGAAGCAUCUGCUCAAUGAGUGAGGUUGUGUAACUUCCAAGUAUAGAGCAAGCCAUGACAAGCCUGGCUUUUCCAGUGCCCCUCCCUCCAAUUUACUCCAUGCUUACUUGGUUGGAGACACGCCUGACUAUGGCAGCAUGUGGACAAUUAGAAAACAGAUCUAGGCUUCCUGGGAGAUGCGCAUCUUCCAAGGUGCCUGUUAGCACAUUUUCCUAGGACAGCUUGUAAGUAACGGCCACAUAGUUUGUACUGGAUGGAGCUGGACUUGAACCCAUGACUCCCAGAUGUUUGGAACGCUUUGGUGCAGCAUGAACACACAGAGCUGCUUGCCCGGAGUUCCCGCAGGAGAUGCUGUGAUGGAGAGCCUUGAGGGGACUCUAGAGGGUGUCACUUUUGUCUUCGCAUUCAGACCCUUGCGGUGGCCCACACCAUGCUGAUUUUAAGUAAACAGAAGCUUAAAAAUACUUACUGCACUGUGUUUUGAAUUCCAAACCCCAGCUAUCCAGCCUGGGAUCAAACUCCAGAAGGAAGAGUAAUUUCCAGAACCCCUUUAUCCCCAUUCACGGUUCUCCGCCUCGUCCUUCUUCUUAAAGGGUCCUGCUGCAACCCCCAAGAAACAUCCAAUGCUUUCUCAUACCUCCAUCCCCUAGUGAAUCAGCUGAAUUGUCCUGCUCAUCACUGUGUCCUUUUCUCGAAGCUAGCCACUGCCAGCGUCCAGAGCAUGCCACCCCAAAAUGCGCCUCAAGUGUGUACUGAUUAUUUUGAAUAAAGUCACUUGAGAAAUGGCUGAUGCAAGACAGACACUCUGACCCUCCUCUCGGUCUCCCUGAAGGCAGGAAAUAAAACACCUCUGAACGGUGCAGUCCUUGCAUCUGGUGGUAGAAGGAUGCCUUUAUCACCAGAGGUAGGGAAGCUGGGCAGAGAAUUCCUCUUUAAUUGACUACCCCAAGCCUAAGCACUGUUCUUAGAUUCUUCACUAAUUAACCCACUCAAAAAGCCCAUAUUUCUUUGUUCCAUCCUUUCUUCACAAAUUUAUUGUUCCUUACUCUAAAAGGAAUAAAAGCUGCCUGUUUUGGCCACCUCUUAAGUCCUGUUCCUAUGAGACCUCUGUGCAUAUGAAUUAAAU
ensembl:lncRNA